rnacentral:lncRNA from 1 species
CAGACUCUCUCUUCCUCUCUCGGCCACGCCUCUCUCUUCUCUCUCCCCGACCUCUCUCUCUCUCGUCCUCACUCUGCCAUCACCGGAAAACCCCAUCUCCGGCCACCACCUCACAAAAUCGCCACCACCUAUCGAUCCAGCAUCUAAAUCCGACCCAAGCCCGAGCCUUAUCGUUGACAUGCAUCUCCGGCAGCCUCCGCGCCCGACAACCCAAGGCUGCGACGCCAUGCCAUCUGCGUUCACCGGUCUCCGAAUCUUUUCCAUAGCCACUGCCUCCACCAACGGGCUCAAGGCAAGCCGUUUAUCAACACUCCAAAGCCUCGUCACUGACCCGACGCCGGAGAACUCUGUAUACGCCUUCGCCGGUGAUCUGGGCUUCUACAAAGCUAGGGUUACGACCUCCGGCCAUGAUUGAGCGAAGCCAUCACCUUGAAGAAGCUUAGGACUACACGAAUCGCCUUAACCCCUUAAUCCCGACUUCUGACCCUGACCAGAACCACCGCACGCGCUUCACGCGCCGUCGCUGGCGCGUGAGAUACUCCAGCACCGCCGUGAUCUUCACCGGCGUAGUCC